CUUCUCUGCAAAUGGGCUCCGUGGCCUAGCGCCCCCGUCCCCGCCACCCGUGAUCGUGCGCCGAGGCCCGCGAGGGGUCGCCGCCCAGAUCCCACCAGCCAGCAAGCUAAAGCAUGGCGGCCAUCCCCUCCAGCGGCUCGCUCGUGGCCACCCACGACUACUACCGGCGUGAGUAGCCCCUGCCCCCCAUCCACGCGGAUGCUCUGCUGGCGCCAGUGCCGGCCCCGUGCAGGCUGCGGAACCAGCGCUCGGCCUGAAGGCCGGUGGGCUGGGGGGCUCCGCGCCCCGCGUUGCUGACGGGACCUCUCCUCUCCAGGCCGCCUGGGUUCCACUUCCAGCAACAGCUCCUGCAGCAGUACCGAGUGCCCCGGGGAAGCCAUUCCCCACCCCCCAGGUCUCCCCAAGGCUGACCCGGGUCAUUGGUGGGCCAGCUUCUUUUUCGGGAAGUCCACCCUCCCGUUCAUGGCCACGGUGUUGGAGUCCGCAGAGCACUCGGAACCUCCCCAGGCCUCCAGCAGCAUGACCGCCUGUGGCCUGGCUCGGGACGCCCCGAGGAAGCAGCCCGGCGGUCAGUCCAGCACAGCCAGCGCUGGGCCCCCGUCCUGACCUGAGCGGUUACCACCAGCCCCAGGCCUGCGGAGGCGCUAGUCCACCAGAGCCCCUCCCCGCCCCUCUCCCCACUCCGCAUCCCUCGCCCCCCUCCCCACCUCCCACCCCCCACCCUGUAAACUAGGCGGCUGCAGCAAGCAGACCUUCGCAUCAACACAGCAGACACCAAAAACCAGUGAGAGCCCCGCUCUCUACCGCCCGGCC
rnacentral:lncRNA from 1 species